rnacentral:rRNA from 1 species
UCUUUUAAAAUUAUAUGCUCCGGGAUAUUAAUAAAUUAUAUAAAAACCAAAUAAUAUGGCGGCUCUUCUAACAACUCAGAUAGGAAUGUCCAUAAUCGAAAGUGCGCGAGAAUCUUUCUUAAUUUAUAGAACUUUGUACACCACCGUCCAUAGGUCAAAUUAAAAAAUAUCGAUCGAGUCCUCAAAUCAAAUAGGAGAAAGUCAGGUCAAGGUGCAGGUUAUAGUUAAGUGAAAAUGUUCUUCAAUAAUGUUAUUGAAUAUGGAUAAUUGAAAAAAAUUUCCAAAAAAGAAUUUGAAAGUAAAAUCAAAACUUAUAAGUUUAUCAUACUGAUUUGAAUAUGAUAUUAAGAGUGU